rnacentral:rRNA from 1 species
CACGUAGGGUGCGAGCGUUGUCCGGAAUUAUUGGGCGUAAAGAGCUCGUAGGCGGUGUGUCGCGUCGGCCGUGAAAACCUGCAGCUCAACUGUGGGCUUGCGGUCGAUACGGGCAUGACUGGAGUUCGGCAGGGGAGACUGGAAUUCCUGGUGUAGCGGUGAAAUGCGCAGAUAUCAGGAGGAACACCGGUGGCGAAGGCGGGUCUCUGGGCCGAUACUGACGCUGAGGAGCGAAAGCGUGGGGAGCGAACAGG